UUAGCCAUUAUUCCGUUAAGCAAAGCGAACUACGAUGCUCAAUUGGCCUUCAAAGUGAAAGAAUUGGACAUGGCUCGUAUGAAUGAUAUUGAAGAUACUCCGGCGAGCGAAGCUGCUGAAACGACAGUAACCACGCCUGGCACGUCUACACUUUCCACCAGAUGUACUACGGAAAAACCUUUGCCAAAAUUAAGUGCAAAUUUCUUCCCAA